CAUAGGUUAAUGAGGCGAACCGGGGGAACUGAAACAUCUAAGUACCCCGAGGAAAAGAAAUCAACCGAGAUUCCCCCAGUAGCGGCGAGCGAACGGGGAGGAGCCCAGAGCCUGAAUCAGUGUGUGUGUUAGUGGAAGCGUCUGGAAAGGCGCGCGAUACAGGGUGACAGCCCCGUACACAAAAAUGCACAUACUGUGAGCUCGAUGAGUAGGGCGGGACACGUGGUAUCCUGUCUGAAUAUGGGGGGACCAUCCUCCAAGGCUAAAUACUCCUGACUGACCGAUAGUGAACCAGUACCGUGAGGGAAAGGCGAAAAGAACCCCGGCGAGGGGAGUGAAAAAGAACCUGAAACCGUGUACGUACAAGCAGUGGGAGCCUCUUAAUGGGGUGACUGCGUACCUUUUGUAUAAUGGGUCAGCGACUUAUAUUCUGUAGCAAGGUUAACCGAAUAGGGGAGCCGAAGGGAAACCGAGUCUUAACUGGGCGUUAAGUUGCAGGGUAUAGACCCGAAACCCGGUGAUCUAGCCAUGGGCAGGUUGAAGGUUGGGUAACACUAACUGGAGGACCGAACCGACUAAUGUUGAAAAAUUAGCGGAUGACUUGUGGCUGGGGGUGAAAGGCCAAUCAAACCGGGAGAUAGCUGGUUCUCCCCGAAAGCUAUUUAGGUAGCGCCUCGUGAAUUCAUCUCCGGGGGUAGAGCACUGUUUCGGCAAGGGGGUCAUCCCGACUUACCAACCCGAUGCAAACUGCGAAUACCGGAGAAUGUUAUCACGGGAGACACACGGCGGGUGCUAACGUCCGUCGUGAAGAGGGAAACAACCCAGACCGCCAGCUAAGGUCCCAAAGUCAUGGUUAAGUGGGAAACGAUGUGGGAAGGCCCAGACAGCCAGGAUGUUGGCUUAGAAGCAGCCAUCAUUUAAAGAAAGCGUAAUAGCUCACUGGUCGAGUCGGCCUGCGCGGAAGAUGUAACGGGGCUAAACCAUGCACCGAAGCUGCGGCAGCGACACUAUGUGUUGUUGGGUAGGGGAGCGUUCUGUAAGCCUGUGAAGGUGUACUGUGAGGUAUGCUGGAGGUAUCAGAAGUGCGAAUGCUGACAUAAGUAACGAUAAAGCGGGUGAAAAGCCCGCUCGCCGGAAGACCAAGGGUUCCUGUCCAACGUUAAUCGGGGCAGGGUGAGUCGACCCCUAAGGCGAGGCCGAAAGGCGUAGUCGAUGGGAAACAGGUUAAUAUUCCUGUACUUGGUGUUACUGCGAAGGGGGGACGGAGAAGGCUAUGUUGGCCGGGCGACGGUUGUCCCGGUUUAAGCGUGUAGGCUGGUUUUCCAGGCAAAUCCGGAAAAUCAAGGCUGAGGCGUGAUGACGAGGCACUACGGUGCUGAAGCGACAAAUGCCCUGCUUCCAGGAAAAGCCUCUAAGCAUCAGGUAACAUCAAAUCGUACCCCAAACCGACACAGGUGGUCAGGUAGAGAAUACCAAGGCGCUUGAGAGAACUCGGGUGAAGGAACUAGGCAAAAUGGUGCCGUAACUUCGGGAGAAGGCACGCUGAUAUGUAGGUGAAGCGACUUGCUCGUGGAGCUGAAAUCAGUCGAAGAUACCAGCUGGCUGCAACUGUUUAUUAAAAACACAGCACUGUGCAAACACGAAAGUGGACGUAUACGGUGUGACGCCUGCCCGGUGCCGGAAGGUUAAUUGAUGGGGUUAGCGGUAACGCGAAGCUCUUGAUCGAAGCCCCGGUAAACGGCGGCCGUAACUAUAACGGUCCUAAGGUAGCGAAAUUCCUUGUCGGGUAAGUUCCGACCUGCACGAAUGGCGUAAUGAUGGCCAGGCUGUCUCCACCCGAGACUCAGUGAAAUUGAACUCGCUGUGAAGAUGCAGUGUACCCGCGGCAAGACGGAAAGACCCCGUGAACCUUUACUAUAGCUUGACACUGAACAUUGAGCCUUGAUGUGUAGGAUAGGUGGGAGGCUUUGAAGUGUGGACGCCAGUCUGCAUGGAGCCGACCUUGAAAUACCACCCUUUAAUGUUUGAUGUUCUAACGUGGGCCCCUUACCGGGGUUGCGGACAGUGUCUGGUGGGUAGUUUGACUGGGGCGGUCUCCUCCUAAAGAGUAACGGAGGAGCACGAAGGUUGGCUAAUCCUGGUCGGACAUCAGGAGGUUAGUGCAAUGGCAUAAGCCAGCUUGACUGCGAGCGUGACGGCGCGAGCAGGUGCGAAAGCAGGUCAUAGUGAUCCGGUGGUUCUGAAUGGAAGGGCCAUCGCUCAACGGAUAAAAGGUACUCCGGGGAUAACAGGCUGAUACCGCCCAAGAGUUCAUAUCGACGGCGGUGUUUGGCACCUCGAUGUCGGCUCAUCACAUCCUGGGGCUGAAGUAGGUCCCAAGGGUAUGGCUGUUCGCCAUUUAAAGUGGUACGCGAGCUGGGUUUAGAACGUCGUGAGACAGUUCGGUCCCUAUCUGCCGUGGGCGCUGGAGAACUGAGGGGGGCUGCUCCUAGUACGAGAGGACCGGAGUGGACGCAUCACUGGUGUUCGGGUUGUCAUGCCAAUGGCACUGCCCGGUAGCUAAAUGCGGAAGAGAUAAGUGCUGAAAGCAUCUAAGCACGAAACUUGCCCCGAGAUGAGUUCUCCCUGACUCCUUGAGAGUCCUGAAGGAACGUUGAAGACGACGACGUUGAUAGGCCGGGUGUGUAAGCGCAGCGAUGCGUUGAGCUAACCGGUACUAAUGAACCGUGAGGCUUAACCUUACAACGCCGAAG
rnacentral:rRNA from 1 species